rnacentral:rRNA from 1 species
GCUACAGGCUUAACACAUGCAAGUCGAGGGGAAACGAUAUUGAAAGCUUGCUUUUUAUAGGCGUCGACCGGCGCACGGGUGAGUAACGCGUAUCCAACCUGCCCACCACUUGGGGAUAACCUUGCGAAAGUAAGACUAAUACCCAAUGAUAUCUCUAGAAGACAUCUGAAAGAAAUUAAAGAUUUAUCGGUGAUGGAUGGGGAUGCGUCUGAUUAGCUUGUUGGCGGGGUAACGGCCCACCAAGGCAACGAUCAGUAGGGGUUCUGAGAGGAAGGUCCCCCACAUUGGAACUGAGACACGGUCCAAACUCCUACGGGAGGCAGCAGUGAGGAAUAUUGGUCAAUGGACGAGAGUCUGAACCAGCCAAGUAGCGUGCAGGAAGACGGCCCUAUGGGUUGUAAACUGCUUUUAUAAGGGAAUAAAGUGAGACUCGUGACACUUUUUGCAUGUACCUUAUGAAUAAGGACCGGCUAAUUCCGUGCCAGCAGCCGCGGUAAUACGGAAGGUCCAGGCGUUAUCCGGAUUUAUUGGGUUUAAAGGGAGCGUAGGCCGGAGAUUAAGCGUGUUGUGAAAUGUAGACGCUCAACGUCUGCACUGCAGCGCGAACUGGUUUCCUUGAGUACGCACAAAGUGGGCGGAAUUCGUGGUGUAGCGGUGAAAUGCUUAGAUAUCACGAAGAACUCCGAUUGCGAAGGCAGCUCACUGGAGCGCAACUGACGCUGAAGCUCGAAAGUGCGGGUAUCGAACAGGAUUAGAUACCCUGGUAGUCCGCACGGUAAACGAUGGAUGCCCGCUGUUGGUCUGAAUAGGUCAGCGGCCAAGCGAAAGCAUUAAGCAUCCCACCUGGGGAGUACGCCGGCAACGGUGAAACUCAAAGGAAUUGACGGGGGCCCGCACAAGCGGAGGAACAUGUGGUUUAAUUCGAUGAUACGCGAGGAACCUUACCCGGGCUUGAAUUGCAGAGGAAGGAUUUGGAGACAAUGACGCCCUUCGGGGCCUCUGUGAAGGUGCUGCAUGGUUGUCGUCAGCUCGUGCCGUGAGGUGUCGGCUUAAGUGCCAUAACGAGCGCAACCCCUCUCCUUAGUUGCCAUCAGGUCAAGCUGGGCACUCUGGGGACACUGCCACCGUAAGGUGUGAGGAAGGUGGGGAUGA